AAGUCGAACGGCAGCACGGGGGCAACCCUGGUGGCGAGUGGCGAACGGGUGAGUAAUAUAUCGGAACGUGCCCAGUAGUGGGGGAUAACUAGUCGAAAGAUUGGCUAAUACCGCAUACGCACUACGGUGGAAAGCGGGGGAUCGUAAGACCUCGCGCUAUUGGAGCGGCCGAUAUCCGAUUAGCUAGUUGGUGGGGUAAAAGCCUACCAAGGCGACGAUCAGUAGCUGGUCUGAGAGGACGACCAGCCACACUGGGACUGAGACACGGCCCAGACUCCUACGGGAGGCAGCAGUGGGGAAUUUUGGACAAUGGGGGCAACCCUGAUCCAGCCAUGCCGCGUGUGUGAAGAAGGCCUUCGGGUUGUAAAGCACUUUUGUCAGGAACGAAACGGUCUGCACUAAUACUGCGGACUAAUGACGGUACCUGAAGAAUAAGCACCGGCUAACUACGUGCCAGCAGCCGCGGUAAUACGUAGGGUGCAAGCGUUAAUCGGAAUUACUGGGCGUAAAGCGUGCGCAGGCGGUUGUGUAAGACAGAUGUGAAAUCCCCGGGCUUAACCUGGGAACUGCAUUUGUGACUGCACGGCUAGAGUGUGUCAG
rnacentral:rRNA from 1 species